UACGUAGGGGGCAAGCGUUGUCCGGAAUUAUUGGGCGUAAAGAGUACGUAGGCGGUCUGUUAAGCGCAAAGUGAAAGGCAUAGGCUCAACCAAUGUGAGCCUUGCGAACUGGCAGACUUGAGUGCAGGAGAGGAAAGCGGAAUUCCUAGUGUAGCGGUGAAAUGCGUAGAUAUUAGGAGGAACACCGGUGGCGAAGGCGGCUUUCUGGACUGAAACUGACGCUGAGGUACGAAAGCGUGGGGAGCAAACAGG
rnacentral:rRNA from 1 species